GAUGGGAAGAGAAGAAAUGGUUUUAUAAGAUUACUAAACUUGUUUUUCUCCUUUUUUCAAAGGUUAUUUGUUUAGUUGUAAUGUGUUGAUGAGCACAAUGAACAGUACAAACAUAUAAUUUCAUCAAACACAUUGAAUCUUACAUUUGAUUUGAUAUUUUACGAAUUUCUAUUAUGGGCAGUCCCAAAGGAAAGAAAAGGAACAAAGUUCAUAUAUUUCUGCAGCCGAGUACUUGGAAGAGACUUUUCAUUCAACUUCAAAGAACAACAAUACAUUCACAGAAAGAAGUGGAUUCGAUAUUUACAAAUUAGAAUUUCUUAGAUUUAUGGAUUGGAACAACCCCAUUGAAAGUGAUGCUUUUUCGACACCUGUUGCUUGAAUUCCGGGUUUAAUCACUUCCAUUACCCAAAAGAAUAUUUCUCUUCUCCAGUCAAACGCAGCUUUUCCCAGAUUUGACGCUUAGUGUUCGUCUUCUUCUACAUUCCCUUCCCUUCACUUCCAUCCAAAAAAUCCCACAACAACAACAACCAAGUGGGUGUCGCAAUUACACCCCUAUUCUAACCUCUCUCGUUCGCCCGGCCAUUUCAACUUGGAAUGCUUUAAAGUGCCAUUAUUACUCAACUUAGGGGCGCCCAUGGAGCAUGACCCAGAACCCAUCCUCAACCGUUCCCUUUUUUUAAGCACUCCCUACUAAACUUUUGGUUCUCAAGUUAUUAAACCCUUUUUUUUUUUUUUUUUUGUAUUUUGUGCUUUUGUGUUUUAAACCACAUGGACAAAUAAGUUUUAGAAACUCCUAUUUUGGGUAGUGGAAUUUGUGAAUUUUAAAAGCUAGCUAAUUGACAGGGAUAAUUCGUCGAGGAAGUACCGACAAUGUAACAAGCAAUUUCUACUGCUAGAUGCGUGUGUGACAUACUCACGUAGUGUUGACUUCUUUGAAUAAUUCUUUCGAUAGAUCGAAGAGAAUUUUUUUUAGCACAUAUCACUUUCGUUCAACAUUUAACUACUAUUAAAUGAUAUAUUACUUUAUUACACGAGUUUCACACAAUUGUUAAGUGUUUCUUUCAUAUAGGAUAAGCAAUCUAAAGAAAACAUCAUUUAAUGAGCUCAACUAUAUAACUACGCUUUAAUAAUCACUGGGUGUAGAUUUAGAAAUCUAGAUAUUCUCUAAAUAAUCAAUAACUACAAUUUCGUUAUUUGUAUAGUUUUUCUCUAGAAAACUGUCAACUACGUUGUGUGGCUUCCUCGAAUAAUUUCUCCACUUGAAAAGCUUGCCUACGAAGUAUGAGUUGAUAUAGUCAACUAAGCUAAGGAAUUUAUAUGGUCUAGAUUAAGUAGACCUAAUAUACCAUGUGUAAGGUCUGACUUAUUGAAUCAUAGACUAUAAAAUACAAUCUAUGUGUAUAAGUUAACUAUGCCAAAAUGGAUUAGGUUUCCUACAAUAAUCUAAAGGGGCAUCACCGAAACCAGCAAACAGGCACAAGCCACAACACCCAUGUUUGGUACAAGUGAUAAACAUUGAUUUAUUCAUAUUAUAUUUGUUGUUUUUAUUGUAUUAAAUAUGUUAAUGAAUAUCAUAUAAUAACCCAUUUCUCACAUUUGACCAACACCUACCCACCUAUAUGGUUUUGGUUGCAUUUUUGUAGCAAUGUAAUUUAAUAAUUGAAUUGUGGCAGAUGCAUA